rnacentral:rRNA from 1 species
CGGGACGGGUGGAGUAAUGUCUGGGAAACUGCCUGAUGGAGGAGGAUAACUACUGGAAACGGUAGCUAAUACCGCAUAACGUCGCAAGACCAAAGAGGGGGACCUUAGGGCCUCUUGCCAUCGGAUGUGCCCAGAUGGGAUUAGCUUGUUGGUGGGGUAACGGCUCACCAAGGCGACGAUCCCUAGCUGGUCUGAGAGGAUGACCAGCCACACUGGAACUGAGACACGGUCCAG